rnacentral:rRNA from 1 species
GAUGAACGCUGGCGGCGUGCUUAACACAUGCAAGUCGAACGAUGAAGCCCAGCCUGCUGGGUGGAUUAGUGGCGAACGGGUGAGUAACACGUGAGUAACCUGCCCUUAACUCUGGGAUAAGCCUGGGAAACUGGGUCUAAUACCGGAUAGGAGCGUCCACCGCAUGGUGGGUGUUGGAAAGAUUUAUCGGUUUUGGAUGGACUCGCGGCCUAUCAGCUUGUUGGUGAGGUAAUGGCUCACCAAGGCGACGACGGGUAGCCGGCCUGAGAGGGUGACCGGCCACACUGGGACUGAGACACGGCCCAGACUCCUACGGGAGGCAGCAGUGGGGAAUAUUGCACAAUGGGCGAAAGCCUGAUGCAGCGACGCCGCGUGAGGGAUGACGGCCUUCGGGUUGUAAACCUCUUUCAGUAGGGAAGAAGCGAAAGUGACGGUACCUGCAGAAGAAGCACCGGCUAACUACGUG